ensembl:misc_RNA
AUUUUCUGCAGAGCCGCGGCGGGGUCCCCUUCCUCGCGCGCUGGGUUCUCCCUCAAGCGGAGUCAGGCUGAGCGCUGGGUGCAUUUCCCUGAGGAUACGAGGGACAGAUAGGAGAGGCGUCGAGGAGGACCGGUUGGGGACUAAUAAAGUUUAGAAGAUGGUGUGGGACGGUUUUCUGACCGUCUUGGCGGUCC